GCUUGUCGCCAAGCCCUCCUCCUCCCAGGCUUAGCGACAACGAGACCGGUUUCCUCCCAAUCCGGUCUUUCCAUAUGGCAUCCGUCGCACCUCCUCCCGCGACGGAUGCCAUUU
rfam:Ochrobactrum sp. P6BS-III NODE_6_length_286409_cov_31.5001, whole genome shotgun sequence.